GUGGGGAAUCUUGCGCAAUGGGCGAAAGCCUGACGCAGCCAUGCCGCGUGAAUGAUGAAGGUCUUAGGAUUGUAAAAUUCUUUCACCGGGGACGAUAAUGACGGUACCCGGAGAAGAAGCUCCGGCUAACUUCGUGCCAGCAGCCGCGGUAAUACGAAGGGGGCUAGCGUUGCUCGGAAUUACUGGGCGUAAAGGGCGCGUAGGCGGACAGCUUAGUCAGAGGUGAAAGCCCAGGGCUCAACCUUGGAAUUGCCUUUGAUACUGGCUGUCUUGAGUUUGGGAGAGGUGAGUGGAACUCCGAGUGUAGAGGUGAAAUUCGUAGAUAUUCGGAAGAACACCAGUGGCGAAGGCGACUCACUGGCCCAAUACUGACGCUCAUGUGCGAAAGCUAGGGCAGCGAACGGGAUUAGAAACCCCGGUAGUCC
rnacentral:rRNA from 1 species